rnacentral:rRNA from 2 species
UGGGCGUAAGCGCGCGCAGGCGGUUUCUUAAGUCUGAUGUGAAAGCCCACGGCUCAACCGUGGAGGGUCAUUGGAAACUGGGGAACUUGAGUGCCGAAGAGAAAAGCGGAAUUCCACGUGUAGCGGUGAAAUGCGUAGAGAUGUGGAGGAACACCAGUGGCGAAGGCGGCUUUUUGGUCUGUAACUGACGCUGAGGCGCGAAAGCGUGGGGAGCAAACAGGAUUAGAUACCCUGGUAGUCCACGCCGUAAACGAUGAGUGCUAAGUGUUAGAGGGUUUCCGCCCUUUAGUGCUGCAGCUAACGCAUUAAGCACUCCGCCUGGGGAGUACGGUCGCAAGACUGAAACUCAAAGGAAUUGACGGGGGCCCGCACAAGCGGUGGAGCAUGUGGUUUAAUUCUAAGUUACGCGAAGAACCUUACCAGGUCUU